UCGGGAAACUUUUGCAAUGCGCGAAAGCGUGACAGAGCAAGCCAGAGUGAUUUUCCGUAUUGGAAAAUCUUUUGUGGGAUGCAAAAAGUCCCACGAAUAAGGACCGGGCAAGACUGGUGCCAGCCGCCGCGGUAAUCCCAGCGGUCCAAGUCGCAUCCACUUUUAUUGGGUCUAAAACAUCCGUAGCUUGUUAAGUAAGUCUCUUGUGAAAUCUGGCAUCUCAAGUGUCAGACUUGCAGGAGAUACUGCU
rnacentral:rRNA from 1 species